GUUCCUCUGAUGUGUUUUUUUCUUCCAGGGCUAGUCUGGAGUCAUGUCUGUCCAGGCUGCUGAUCUGCCUUGCUGGGGUUUGCGGGGCGUGGGGGAAGGGGAGGAGGUCUGUAGAUCCCCAUGUGCCUUAACCCUAACUGGGAGACACUGGGGCCUGAUGGAUGGGGCUUGGCAGUGUAGGCUUAUCUCACCUUAUCAGGAUUUCCCUGACAGCAGCACACUGCAGGCAGGGCAGAGUCCACCCUGUGGCUGUGAUAGGUCUGCCAUGCGCCACCUAUGACAUCACCCCAUGUGUCACAAAGGUUUCCCCUGUCCUGGGAGCUGUGUUCAUGAGGCUGGAUGAGGGCUGGCAGGACUGGCAUGCCAAGGCUGUGGGAGGGCUCUGCUCAGGGAUACCCCAGAUGUGGGAGAACCAGCCUUCCACCCAUAGGAAUCCAGAGAGCCCUCCUGAACACAGUGCUGUGUUCAUGUCCCAGUGCCCCUGGGACUACCUAAUGCAUGCUUUGUGCCCCGUCAUGUCCAGCACCCUGGGGCUGCCCUGUGCCUGUGGGGCUCCACAGGGAGGGAUCCCUCGGGCAGCACAGGACAGCCUUGGCUGACAAGUGGAUGACUGCUUGAGAGACAGAAAACUCAGUUUGGGUUUGUCUGGAAGAUAACAGGGGAUAAGGAGGGAUGCCUAAUGCUCUGGCCUUCACCACCCAAGCAGCCAGUGGGUUACAGGGCUGGCCCUGCAGCAGAUCUCCCCACUGUGUAAUCAUGUAGCUGCUGCCAGCUGCUGGCACAAGGCUGGUGUCUGGCUGGACAGUGAGGAUGUGGGGCUGAGCCCUGGACUACCCAACCCAACAGGCAGCACUGCCAACCCUGCACCCAGCUCCGCUGACGUGGCUCAAGGCUGUAGACAAGGCCAGUGUGCGGCUGAGCUCCCAAGGACACAGGGCUGACCCUGAGUGGGGGAGCACUGAGCUCUGCUGAAGAUGCCAGUACUCAUGGUCCAUGCAGUGAGGGUGGAGAGUAGUCCCAGCCUGGGUCAGCAGGAGGGCAGAAAUGGGCUGAUGAAGCAAUUCUUUCACCCCUUCUUCUGCACGCCGUGUUCCAUUUAGGACUCCCCAGUACAAGAAAGAUCCCAUACUGGAGUGAGGCUGGUAAAGGUUGCUGAACUGGUUAGGACAGGAGCUAGGCUUACUUGGGCUGAAGAAGAGGAGAAAUCAGAGUUUAUCUGCCCUGAACUCUGAGUCAUGGCAGGACUCAUUUCUUCUCCUUUUGCACUCCCCAGGCCAGCAUGGGCAUUGGGGUGAUGCCUCCUAUGGAGACAUCUUGCAGGCAGCUGCUGGAUGACCAGACUGUGUAAGUGGCUGCCAGACCUGGGGCCUCAUCCAUGUCUCAGUGCUGACACACCUCCAGAUGUCCCCAUGUCCAGCCUUGCCUUUUGUGCCAGCCAGCAGCACUGGCUCCUCAUUGUAUGUGUGUCACACAUGCCGCUGGCCUGCUCGUGUCACCUGGGGACAGGCACCCUUGGAGGAGACACACAGCUCUGCCUCCUGGAAAAGGAAUUGCUGCAGCACUGGAGAUUAGCUUCUCUGCUUUUUACUGAUCUAAGCUGGAACUUACAACUUUGUGGAAGGAAGCAAUAGAGCAUCCAGGGCAUCCAUGGCUCUGAACAUGAAAGGCAGAACAGGGAAAAACUUCACGAGAGAAGAUGUCUUGUGAAGGUUGGAAGACACAAUUCCAGCUGUAACGAGAAAAGGAAUGGUGCGGUUAUUUCACGCCUGAGUUGAUUAUCAGUUCAAGUACUUUGCAGACCCAGGGAGACCCUUGAGGGUUCCUUUGGACUCUGGCAUGUCCACAAGUCCACAAGGACCCAUAAGUCCCUCCACCCCAUGCUGGUUGGUGGGCACUCCCCAAGCCGGCAGCCAACACAGCCACCACCUGUCUGCACAGGAGAGCCUGGGUCAAGCUGUGUCCCCAUGUGACGUCUUUGUCCCAUCUGGAUCCCAUCCUUUGGCACCAAGACCCCACACCAGUGCCACCCUAUCACAUUUGCAUGACUUGGGACCGUCAUCACACAGCAGCCAGAAGUGCCCCAGCCUGCUGCAUCAGGCUACUCAGGCUUUCCAUCAGCAUGAUGGAGAUGUGGGCACUGGGAUGUGGUGGGAGGCCAUCUCUUUUGCUGGUUUUGUGACAUUUGCCUGCUUCCUGGCUACCCUGUGGUGGGCUUAACUCACCUGCACCCUGCAGUCCUGGCUCUAGGGAGAGCACUGGUUCAGGCUGGGGUGGCACCGGUCCCCAUGGGUGCACAUGCCACCCUGGCCACAGACAGCCCACGUGCCUGGCCCCAGGCUCUGGGAAGGCUGUGCUGGUUGUCAUCAUGUAGCAUCUGCCCAGAGGUCUUCGAGAAAAGAGCCAUCCCUCUAGGAUAUAUUGUCUAAUUUUAUAGGGGGAAGGGACUCUUGCCAGAUUCUCAUUGCAGAAACAGAGCUGGCUCCAUCAGCUAUUUUCAGUGUGAGGCUGAGCUGUAGGGACGAUGGAGGUCAUCAGGCUCUGCACAUCUGCAGGUUCUGCAGCUCACAGGAACCAUCUCCUGCUCUGGGUCUUCAGCCACAGCUGCAGCCUCCUCAAGGUCUUUUCCAAGAGUCAUAGAGCACCCUGAAGGCCCUGGUUCCAGCAGUAAAUAACCACCCUUGCCUACAGGAAAAUACAGAAAGCCCCAAGACUUAAGGCAUUUCCCCAUGCCAUUGUGAUCUUGGGACCACCUGGUUUUACUGCCCUGGUGAACACAUCCCCAUAAAUUAUGGAAACUACCCAGAAGGAAGCAACUCUGCAAGGAGUAGUACCUGACUGAUGCAUAUCACUGCACUCCAGGUGAAGGUCAGGUAAGUGAUGAACCAGCAGGAGCUGGGUAUACCAAGAGCAGGAGGAGCAGCAACUUAGAGGAGGGACCCCCCUUCCCAGCAUGUGUGGAGGCUUGGCAGGAGCUGUGGGCUGGCAUGCUGGGGAGAGAAAAGUUCAUGGGGUUGAGGCAUUUCUGGAAAGCACAGUUGCUUUUCUUUCAAUGUCCAAGGAAAACUGUGGGCUGGAAUUAUCAUCUCUUUGGAAAUGAGAUGAAGGGACCAAAGCAGCUUGACAAGAGAAAAAAUUCCCACAUGCUUCAGAUUUCCUUCCCAUUGUGUGCAACAGAUGUGACAAAUGAUGGGAAGGUUUGGGUGCCUGCAACAGGAGGUGUGUAUAGCACUGGGUGAAUCAUUUACUGCAACGUCAGGCAAACAAGCCACAGCACGUGUGUGCUUGUUACUCCCAGGUGACAGAGCAGGGCCCUGCAUGCAGCCAGCUCCACCCCAAGCACCCCAUGGGGACUGGCAGGACUGCAGCCUGUGCAUCCUCGCCUGCAACAUCCACACCACGUCCACAUCAUUGUAUGGCUCAGCAAAGGGGUAUGAAUGCAGGACAAGCUUAAAAACUUGAGGAUUCCUCCUUGAACUCUACAUAUCUCCCAGUAAAGCCAGUUUCCCUGGUUUUGGUAAAGGAAGCAGUCAAUUUCAGAUGGCCUUGGGCCCCAGUGAAUAUCUCCUUCCCACUGGAGCUGAGUCUGGUGCAACUGAGUUGGGGCUUCUCCUGGCUCAGUCCAAUGAAAUUGCUGUCCUGGCUCUCAUUUGUAGUCCAGCCUAGACACAAGGCAGGAAUUCCAGCAAUUUUUAUGGAGGGCAAGCCUCAGGAACAGUCACAGCACAAAGCCUCUGCAGAUGUUGGCCAGCAGCAGGAUGAGGCCAGCUGUGUCCCAGGCUGUUCAAGAUUGCCAGCAGUAACAAAGAAGGGCAGUUACACAGAGCAGCAAUUCAUGGAGUGAGUCCUAGAGACGUGGCAUGCUGCUGACACAAGGGAUUCUGCAAAGGAAACUGGGAGCUUCCUUGUCCUCUGGCCAAAGAUGGUAGCCUUGGCCUGUUCUGCUGUUGUCACGACCCACUGGUAAGAGGCAUGAUGUUCAGCAUAAAUCCUUACCAGGCUGAACAAAGCCACUGGACACAUGUCAGGAACUCCUGUGUUUCAUUGUACAGUCACUGUAACUCUGGCAACCAGCCCACUGCUUAGACUCAAAAGAUGUUGGCCAACAAGCCUGUAAAUUCUUAUAACACACUUCCACCAGGUGCUGUCUAGCAAGCCACAACACAUUUCCAUAAACUUACCACUUGCACAACGAAGUUCAGUACAGAGUAUGGGGUGGAAUAUGGUGUGUUUUGCCCAGGAGAGGAAUAAACACAGGAGAGGGAGAAAGGGAACAAAGAUUAUAAUCAGUAUGUAGAUCCCAUCUUGGUCUUGCUGCAUGGAUGGUCCAGAGCUGGGGUUGUCAGACAAAGAAAGUGAAAAAAAAAGGAGGGAAAAGACACUGAGUGGGUCCAAUCCACUUUAUUUGCUAGUUAACCUGGUACAAGCCUUUUUGUAAACUUGACUCUUUGUUCAUGCAUGCACAGCCAGCCAUUUCAGCCCUCCUGCAGGAAGUGUGUUGGAGGAGGGAACGGAGCAUGAAACUCAGGGGGGAGCAGGAAAUCAGCUAAGAAUGCACUGCCCACCCUCCAUGGGACUCUCUCCUACAAUCACAUCAUUCCAGUUGUAAAUCAGAAUGAUUGAGACCAAACAUGCCUAUGUGUGGUCCAUUACAGCCAUCAGGAAUGGUGACUGCAGAAGCACCAAAGUUUUAUGAGCAGCAGGAGCCCCAGGGAACCCAGCAGGCUGGGGAGUGGAUCUGGCCUAGAAAACUACCAAGUUGUGAAAUACAAAGUUGUGUUUCAUGUCAGGUAAAUAAAGGUAACCUGUGUAAUUGUAAUUGUGAAAUGUGUGGAAUACGGCCAUGGGACAGUUAUAAAGAUGAGUUCUAAUAAAUAACCGAGGAAAGCAUGGAAGAAGGCUUUUGGACCAAUGUUUUGUUUGCAAUUAAUGAUUAUAAGUCUUUAGCUGUUUUGUAGUACGAGUAUUUGAAUUAUAACUUUAGAAUGUUGCCUUUUGAUAAGAACAUUUUUCUUGUAAUGAAGUCUUAAGCUGUUUUGUAAUAAGAGUACUUGAAUUACAACUUUAAAAUGUUGCUUUGUAUUAAGGAUUUUAAACUGUAGGAUUUAAACAAAAGAGGGAAAUUAACCUAUUCCCAAGCUCCUAGCAAAACAGUGAAAAUAUCCUGGAAAAGGAAGAUGGACAUCAACAUCGCUGAUUAGUGAUUUUGAAAAGGGAAGCUGGACAUCACUAUCCCAGAAUAAUGGUCCUAGAAGCUGGACCCCACAUCAGGAAGAUGGACCCCACUAUCUGGGACACACAUCCUGGAAUAUACAUCCUAGGAUGCUGAAACCUGGAAUAGAUCACAAUAGAGUAUAGAAAUUGGAAAGGAACCAAUGUAUGAUCUAUCACCAUCAUAGAUUUACGAUCCUGAAGUAUAGAAUUGUGACAUCAAAAAUUUGAAAUAGAAACUGCUGAGAAAAGCUUAUGAAUAUGCAUGAACAUGAUCAACAUGAUCAAUAAACACCAGCCAGCCCAGCAAUCAGUGUGCAGUUGGAGGGGAAAACUCCCACCACUGUACCCAGCACUGUCUUUGCUCAUAUGUCACCAUAUUAAUAAAUACAUUGAAUUGCUGCUUGAUAUAUUGGCUGAGUCAAGCUUCUCAUUUCUAACAAAUUAGCAAAUCCAGCUGCUCUUCCAGAAAUCUCCCCCUGGAGCAUCCCUGAAGGAAGGGCAGCUCUGGCCAGGAGGCUGCAUAUUUUUAUUCUGGAUACUCAUAGCACCUACAACUUUGCUUUAAAUCAUCCUUGUGUCAGUCAAUUUAGAACACCAGAACAGCUUCACAGGCUCUCAAGCAUCAGGAUUGCCUCUACCAUGUGGCCACACCACAUGCACAGUUACCUCAGGACGCAUUCCUGAGGCUGAUAGUCACCUUUCCUGUGUCCUGUGGCCAGAGGUUCUUCAGAAAAGGAAAAGGGCAGAUUUUAAUCAAUUUCUUUUGGAUUCACAUCAUGGUCAAAGCAGAACUGGCCGUUUAUCUUGGAAAGCACAAAGCAAAACACAGGUUUUUUUUUUUCCCAACUGAGGAUGCUAUUUGGGAUCUACAGACAUUUCCUGAGAGCCAAGUGGGGUCCAGAUGCUUCUUGGGAGCACUGAAGUAGUGCAAGGACUCAUCUGAACUGAGCCGCCCAGGCUGAACUGCUGUCAGAGCUGGUGAGCACUGACUGCCUUGUGGUGCAUUCCAGAGCUCAUCAUUUUAGUGAGAGGGAUGUCCUUUACUGAGUAGAGGGACAUUCUGGCUUCCUGUUCCAAGAAGGCAGAACAGUGUGUGCUCUUGUUGCUUGUUUACAUUUUUAUUUGGUUAAUCAGAAGUUUCUUCUUUUGUACCAAAACUUUUGUGUUUGACACAAAAGAACAUAUUGGAAUGCUAUUUUUCUAACAAACAUCACUACUGGGCUUCAGUGGGAUAAAGAAUGUUGCUUUUUAAGAUCACUGCUCAGCUGGGUCACUGAUCAUUGGAGCUUUUCAGCUGUGUCAUUUUUAGGAGUAAAACAUAGCUGCAGGAAGACUCAGAACAACUCUCUGAGAGGGUAUUCCUUCUAAAAACCCCAGAGGAGACUAUUGCUGCUGCUGUUGCAUUUCUGCAGCCCUCCAGGAAUCACUGUGUGCAUAGUGAACAAAUGAAAAAAAUCUCUGGGAAUCUUUGAAUGAAGGGUAACUAAAUCAAGGAUAGGCAAACCUGACAUCAUUGCAAUUUGGGAGAAGAAGGUGUUAUGUGCAAUAUGGAUAAUUCGUGCCUGUAAAGAUAUAUAUAUAGAUGUAAUAUGUUAUAUUGCCAAGGAAUAUUUGUAUAAAGUUUUAAGCUUGCAAGACAGAGCCAAGGGAUUGCCUCACAUAUGUUGAAACCACCACUGAAAAGAGGGAGGAGGACUACAUUUGCAAACGAAUAAAGAUAUCUGCCUGGAGAUGGGUCGUUCCCCAAGGUGAUCCAAGGAACUCCUAAGUGAUGAUUGACUCAAUAAAUAUCUAACAUUGAGAUCGCUGGAGGCACUGGAAAGAUACAUCUCAAUGCCAAGUUCCAGUAACUCAGUCAUGGACAUACAUCGCUCUCUGGACACAGUUUUGUUCAACUCAACAUAGAGAAAAGGAACUCUAUGAAUAAGUGGGACACUGAGUAGAAGAAUAGCCUGAUCGCUGAAAACUCUGCCUCAGGCAAAAUAAACUGUAUAAAAACCACUUGAACAGGAAGGUUGGUGUGAAACAUUGGAGACCCUAUGCUGUAGCGGUCGGACCUGUGUCUCACCCAGCGCCGAUUCCGGGCUUGGCACUGUCUUUUUUAUUGUGGCUGGCUCGAUUGAAUUUUGAUAGCAGAAUAAAACUUAUUUUUAUUAAUUUUUAAUUUGGCUGGAUCAUUUUUACCUAUAACAAAGGGAUGAGCUACCAGGGCCACUGUAAAGGGAUUGACAUUAGGCACCAAAGUUAGUGUCGACUUGAGACACUUUGUAUGCUGUGGCAAGACUUGUCACAAGUUAAAGGCCAGCUUCUCUGAAGCUCUGGGCUCCCUCUGGAGCCCUCACUUGUUUUAAAAUUUUAAAAGAUUAAUAGUAAUAAAAUGGUCAUAAAAAUAGUAAUAUAAAUUAGAACAAUAAGAGUUUGGACAAUCAGAGUUAGGACAAUAAAGGACAAUAAAGCAAAAAAUUAUGAACAUUGGGAUGCUUUCCUCAAAAAAAGCAUGGCUUGCUAACAAAGGAUUAAAACUUAAAAGCAAUAACCUUUUGCAUAUUCAUAUAUGUCAUACAUGAUGCAUACAUUCCUUUCAAACGAGGGAGUUCUCUGGUUAUUGUCAACUUUCCUCCUGUUGGCACCUCAAAGACAAGAAGGAGGUAGAAUAAAGUUUGUCUUUUCCCAUAAGGAGGCCUCUUGGGGAUUUCGGUGUCUUGUUGCUGUUACCUCUCUGCAAAGAACUUCUUGAUUAUGUUAUGUGUAAUGAAUGUAAUUCGCACUGGUAUAAUAUGAUGUAUGUAAUAUUUGAUAUUACUGGGAGGAUGCACAAAUUGGCACUGGGAGUUGCCCCACAUAUUCAAAAACCGGUCUGACAAAACCUAAUUUGCAAGCUAACACAUGUGGCUUGUCCAGAGAUGAGUUGUUUCUCCAGGUGAUACAGGAACUCCUGGGCUAUGAUCAUCCCUGCAACGACUGGAGAUUGGGAUCGCUGGAACCCUCCAGGCUGAUACAUCUGAAUGCCGUGUUCCAGUAACUACAUGAGGGAGAUUCAUCACUUCACAGACACCGAAUUGUACCAACCCAACACAGAGAAAAGAGACUUUAUGAAUAUGUGGGACUUUGAAUGGAAAAAAAAGGCUGAUCACCAAAAUCCCAGCCUCAGGCAAAAUAUUCCUUAUAAAACCUGCUUGUACCAGGAGGAUGGUGUGUGGGCACAGGGGGGACCCUCUGCUGAGGCUAUCCACUCUGUGACGCACCCAGUGCCUAUCCUGGGCUCAGCACUGGCCUUUUCCUUGUGGCUGGCUCAGAGAGAAUUUGAUCGCUAUAAUAAAAUUUCAUUUUUAUUUUUUAAUUUGGCUGGAUCAAUUUUUAUCUAUAACAAUUAUCUCAUCUCUUUCUUGAACCAGUUAAAAAGUAUCUUACAUUGCAUAGUUUCUAUUUUAACAUUAUGUAAUAACCUAAAACUAUAUUUAACACACUACUUAAGAGAAUUAAUACAGCAUAACUUUCUAACAUAACACACAUAAUAUUCAUUUUAAUAUUUGUGAAAAGCCAAUAAUAAAAUAUGUGUUUUUCAUAAACCCAAAAGGGAGGAGUAGCAGCAGCCAGUGCACAUGUCUGUGGGGAGCUGGAAGAGAGGGAGGCAACCCUAGCUGGUCCAGAACAGAGGUGGAGCAGGGAGCUGUGUGGGGCAGAAAGGAAAAAGAAGGAGGUGCUCUGGCAGCUGAGGAUUGUGCAGAAAAACCACUCUAUGAAAAGCCAGUGUCCAUAAAGGAAACAGAGGAGUCCUGCAACUUUAUUUGAGUAAAGAGAGAGUGUCCAGUGGGACAUAACCCUGUGCAGUUUCUCGGUUUUGGACGAUGCAAAUAGAAGGCAAAAAUACUUGUCUUGUACAGUGCGGUCAUGUAUUUCACGGAUGACCUCCACAACGCUGCCCGCCGGCAUAAUAAACAUACCACUUUCUAACUUUGA